ensembl:lncRNA
AAACAAUUGUCCUGAAGCCAAACCCAGUUGACGAACCCUGUUUUAUAGUAUUCCAUGGCCUUUACUGGCCAACUGCUGUUAUGUUUAUGAUAUACUAUGGUGUUGUGUCACUAGACUUUGACCAGAUAUUAUUACAUCCAAAGAUCAACUGAACCUAGAACAUAGAUACAGAGACACUUGUCAUCAGGAAGGUGCUCUCUCAGCACAACGGACAAUAUCUCAAUGACUUGACAUGUUCUGGUUGUGAAUUCAGGCUACAAGGUACGUGACAUUUCAAUCUUACAAAAUGGUGCUAACUGGGCGUAGGGGUUUGUGCUCUAAAAUGAGUCUCUCUGGGGAGAAAGAGGAGGAGGGCCCUGCCUCUAAAAGGAUUGUCUUUGGGGAACAUGGCACCAAAUCUAAGAGGUGAGAGGACAAUUUUCUAAAGAUUUUAUGAAGAGUUUAUAUCCAAAACACUAUAUCCACCAUUUUUUCACAUUUGUGUUUUUUCAUCAGAAAUAAAGGCUUAUGGGUGUGUAAAAUAUUAUUGUUCUAAGAUUUUUAAUUCAUAGAUGUUAGCGUAUGACAUUUUACUGAGAACAUCACAGCAAGAUGAAACAAAUAUUGUUGCAUUCCCUAGAUUCUCCCAUUUUAUUUGCACCAUAAAGCACCACAGUGGAGGUGAAAUAAUAAUACCCAUAACACCUAGCGGUCAAACAGGGAAAUGGUUUCAAUAGUUUUAAAGAGCCCCACAAUGGAGGUGUCAUAAUACCCAUAACACCUAGAGGUCAAACAGGGAAAUGGUUUCAAUAGUUUUUCUGAGAAAAAACAUGAGCUUGCGCACACCCAGACUUUUUUUAUGUGGAGGUUCUGAUAAAAAAGAAAUAGAGUCACACACUCCAUAUAUAAACUCCCAGUAAUUUAUUGGGUAAAUCAACAACAUUUCAGCAUCACUGUGUUUACUCCAGGUUUGUGGUGGCAGGGUAACCUAGUGGUUAGAGCAUUGGACUACUAACCGAAAGGUUGCAAGUUCAUAUCCCCGAGCUGACAAGGUACUAGUCUGUCAUUCUGCCCCUGAACAGGCAGUUCCUAGGCUGUCAUUAAAAAUAAGAAUUUGUUCUUAACUUACUUGCCUAGUUAAAUAAAGGUUAAAAAAUAAAAGGUUAAUUCAUGUCAUGAAUACUUGAACCAGGUUAUGUAGACGAUUAGUGUAACCAAUAGUGAGGGGUGUGUCAAAAUUAUUAUGUUAAUAAGAAUGAAUUAGUGAAACUGUUAAAAAACAAAAGUUUAUGGCAUGUUGAAUAUGCUAUUGUUAUCAUAUGGGAACAUCAUUGAAUAUUGUACAUAACAUUAGCAUCAAUAUACAUUAUUGUUUAAUUCAAUUUCACAUAUUUAAUUGUUUCCUAUUUCAAUUCAUUUUUUUGUUACAUGUAAUGUUUUGGUUCAAACAUAAUGCAUAAUAAGCAUCAUCAACAGGGGGAACAUAUUGGAUGUAUACUAAUAAGCUGUAGAAAGAAUAAAUCCAUUUAAAAGAGAGAAUUGUUCAUAAGAAGGGCUUGAGAUCAAAGUCAAUAUUCAGACCACUAGGGGUCAAUGUUUUUAGGAUAUCCAGUAAGCCUCCCCUUGUAGUAGUACGAUCUCCAUGUUAACUCCUCUCCUUGGUAGAGCAACAUGCUCAAUGCCUGUGUAUUGGAGGUAUGAGAUUGGAAGGUUAGCUUCAACAAAGUGAGCUGCUAUUGGAUAGUCAAUGUUCUUACACCUGAUUGAGCUGCGGUGUUCAGCUAUGUGUUGUUUAAUUGUCUUUUCUUUUGUCCUACAUAGGCUUUCCCACAUGAACAGGUGAUGAGAUAAAUUAUUUGCUUGGUCUUACAUGAGAUGAUCCCCUAACAGGGAUGUUUCUACCUGUAUGUGUGUGUCUGAAGUAGGAUGUUUUUAUAGUUCUAUUUGCACUGAGCCAUGUUUGUAGUUCCCAUUUGGAAUGGGUGUCAAGAGUGUCUGAGUGGCCCAGGGGGCAGGUCAGAUCUCACCAAGAUAUCUCCAAGAGUGUCUGAGUGGGCUCAGGGGGCAGGUCAGAUCUCACCAAGCUAUCUCUAAGAGUGUCUGAGUAUGCUCAGGGGUCAGGUCAGAUCUCACCAAGAUAUCUCCAAGAGUGUCUGAGUGGGCUCAGGGGGCAGGUCAGAUCUCACCAAGAUAUCUCCAAGAGUGUCUGAGUGGGCUCAGGGGGCAGGUCAGAUCUCACCAAGCUAUCUCUAAGAGUGUCUGAGUAUGCUCAGGGGUCAGGUCAGAUCUCACCAAGCUAUCUCUAAGAGUGUCUGAGUGGGCUCAGGGGUCAGGUCAGAUCUCACCAAGAUAUCUCCAAGAGUGUCUGAGUGGGCUCAGGGGGCAGGUCAGAUCUCACCAAGCUAUCUCUAAGAGUGUCUGAGUGGGCUCAGGGGUCAGGUCAGAUCUCACCAAACUAUCUCAAAUAUUGCGACCACACUUAUAGACCACCAGUGGGGGUUCCUUUUUUUUGUUUGCAAUUUUUUUGUUUGUCUGAUUGCAGAAUAUUCCAGUGCUUUUUCAGGAUUGCUUUCAUUUUCUCUGAAUACUUGGUGUACUUGGUGCAAAAGAUGGUUGUUUUUCUUCUUUGGUAGAUUGUUUUGCAAUUCCUCUCUUGGUUUUUGAGAUGUUUUCAUCAUUGCAGCAUCGAGUUGUGUCCUUGUAGCCUCUCAUUUUGAAAUUAUCUGUCUUUUUAAAAAAUUCUGUCAAAAUCCAAUAGUUUUUCCAUCAUACAUUUUUCCUAUAGAGAAUUGUAGAAACACUUCAAAUGUUUUGUGUAUGUUGGGGUGGUGCAGCGGUUCUUGUGGGCACAUUUUGUCAUCAAAGUCUGUCAUUCUCUGGAUUUAUGGUGCUUUCAAGGAAACUGGGAAGUUUGAAUUAUGAUGUUAGUGAUUUUCAGGACGGAGCUCUAGAAAGAGGCCCAAGUUCCCGACUUGUAUUUUCAAGUCGGAUGACUGCUCAAACUGUAUUUUCUCAGUAGGAGCAUGGUUUUUUUCUGGGUUUCCAGUUGUCCUGAAAUCACUGAAGUCUGAUAUUUCCCAGUUUCAGUUGUUUUGAAUGCAGCAGAAGUUAUGCUGGAUUCACAGCAUGGCCAAUGUAUUCAACCUUUUCUGCCCCAUGGUGUUACAGGUGAAUGUUUAUCCUUUUAAGCUUGGAAAAGAGACCAUUAAAUGCAGAUUUGGACCACACAUCCUCUCCACUGAAUUGCUGGCUAGUGGAUGUUUUGCAAUGCUUGCAGUUAGCCACAGAUUCCUUCCAAACCACUCAUUCCAAACCACUCAUUGCUAGCUAAGAUGUUGAUCGUAUGAUGUUGACAUGAUCAGUCCAAUCAAAGCUACUGUAGACAAAACGUGAGUUGACGUCAUUUUAUCUGUGGCCAAUGACCUUGAGCCUUUUGAAUGGGCACUUCUAAUGUAACUCUAGGGCAGCACCCAAUCGGCUUGAAUUUUUAAGCUCUCCCUGUAGAUUUUGUGGUGAUGUAGUGUCUCCAUGAGUGACAGAACACUGAGCCAAUCAAGGCGCAACUACAGAACAUUACCAACUACGCUCAGUAUUUCCUGCUGGCUGCCCCACCACCGCAGAAAGCACUGAGCUAGGCUGAAACAGCUGCAUUUUGGAGCUGCCUUACUCAAUAAAUCAAAAAAGAGACCAUAUUUGUAUGUGGCUUAUUAACUCAAUUAUUUUUUUCUUACAUUAUUUGCAAACUGAUAUAUGACAGGUAUUAAUGCCAAAAUAACAUGCUAAACAGGUGGGGCUCUGUACCUGAAUCUGUACCUGAAUAACAGGUGGGGCUCUGUACCUGAAUAACAGGUGGGUCUCUGUACCUGAAUAACAGGUGGGUCUCUGUACAUGAAUAACAGGUGGGGCUCUGUACCUGAAUAACUCACCUUCUGAACAUUCUAUUCCCAGCCCAAUGUUCUGCAUCACAAUGCCAGCUUUGCUAUUGUUAUUAAUGAGACCUACCUGUGUUAACAUUGUGGGUUUUACCUAAAUUAUUUGUAUUAUUACUAUUGCUACAGCUACUUGGUGAGCAAACUUUUGGUGACCCACAGUGCUAGUGAUGGCUGACACACACCGAUCAAAUGUUAAACAUUUUCUGGUCAUUUAAAAAAAUAUAUAUAUUUCACCUUUAUUUAACCAGGUAGGCUAGUUGAGAACAAGUUCUCAUUUGCAACUGCGACCUGGCCAAGAUAAAGCAUAGCAAUUCAACACAUACAACAACACAGAGUUACACAUGGAAUAAACAAAACAUAGUCAAUAAUACAGUAGUACAUAAGAAAACAAAAAGUACAGUAUAUAUACAGUGAGUGCAGAUGAGGUAGGCUAAGUCAAUAAAUAGGCCAUGGUGGCGAAGUAAACACAAUAUAGCAAUUAAAACACUGGAAUGGUAGAUGUGCAGAAGAUGAAUGUUUCAAGUAGAGAUACUGGGGUGCAAAGGAGCAAGAUAAAUAAAUAAAUACAGUAUGGGGAUGAGGUAGAUAGAUGGGAUGUUUACAGAUGGGCUAUGUACAGUUGCAGUGAUCUGUGAGCUGCUCUGACAGCUGGUGCUUAAAGCUAGUGAGGGAGAUAUGAGUCUCCAGCUUCAGAGAUGUUUGCAGUUCGUUCCAGUCAUUGGCAGCAGAGAACUGGAAGGGAAGACGACCAAAGGAGGAAUUGGCUUUGGGUGUGACCAGUGAGAUAUACCUGCUGGAGCGCGUGCUGCGGGUGGGUGCUGCUAUGGUGACCAGUGAGCUGAGAUAAGGUGGGGCUUUACCUAGCAGAGACUUGUAGAUAACCUGUAGCCAGUGGGUUUGGCGACAAGUAUGAAGCGAGUGCCAACCAACGAGAGCGUACAGGUCGCAAUAGUGGGUAGAGUAUGGGGCUUUGGUGACCAAACGGAUGGCACUGUGAUAGAUUGCAUCCAGUUGGUUGAGUAGAGUGUUGGAGGCAAUUUUAUAGAUGACAUCACCGAAGUCGAGGAUUGGUAGGAUAGUCAGUUUUACGAGGGUAUGUUUGGCAGCAUGAGUGAGGGAUGCUUUGUUGCGAAAUAGGAAGCCAAUUCUACAUUUAAUUUUGGAUUGGAGAUGCUUAAUGUGAGUCUGGAAGGAGAGUUUACAGUCUAGCCAGACACCUAUGUAUUUGUAGUUGUCCACGUAUUCUAAGUCAGAGCCGUCCAGAGUAGCGAUGCUGGACGGGCGAGCAGGUGCGGGCAGCGAUCGGUUGAAGAGCAUGCAUUUAGUUUUAUUUGCGUUUAAGAGCAGUUAGAGGCCACGGAAGGAGAGUUGUAUUGCAUUGAAGCUCGUCUGGAGGUUAGUUAACACAGUGUCCAAAGAGGGGCCAGAAGUAUACAGAAUGGUGUCGUCUGCGUAGAGGUGGAUCAGAGAGUCACCAGCAGCAAGAGCAACAUCAUUGAUGUAUACAGAGAAGAGAGUCAGCCCGAGGCGUGAACCCUGUGGCACCCGCAUAGAGACUGCCAGAGGUCCGGACCACAGGCCCUCCGAUUUGACACACUGAACUCUAUCAGAGAAGUAGUUGGUAAACCAGGCGAGGCAAUAAUUUGAGAAACCAAGGCUGUCGAGUCUGCCAAUAAGAAUGUGGUGAUUGACAGAGUUGAAAGCCUUGGCCAAGUCGAUGAAAACGGCUGCAUAGUAAUGUCUCUUAUCGAUGGCGGUUAUGAUGCCGUUUAGGACCUUGAGCGUGGCUGAGGUGCACCCAUGACCAGCUCAGAAACCAGAUUGCAUAGCGGAGAAGGUACGGUGGGAUUUGAAAUGGUCGGUAAUCUGUUUGUUAAUUUGGCUUUCGAAGACCUUAGAAAGGCAGGGUAAAAUAGAUAUAUGGUCAUGGUUAACCAUAUUUGUUUUCAGAAAAAGGUAUACAACCUAAGUGAAACACAUGUCCCUGUCCUCUUUUUCAAGGUGUGGCUGAAUAUAUAUUAUAUAUAUACUUUAAUAUUAAGAAAUAACACUUUUUUUGAUGGCUUGUUGUUUCUAAAUGGCUGCUGGGUAAGUUGAUAUGCAUCGAAUUCUUCGUUUGUAGGCAUUGCAUUGAGCGAAUGCUGCGCAGGUUCACUGAGUUGCAAACCAAAUGGACAGGUCUAGCUCAUUGAUUUGUAGAUCUGACGCAAUUUCUACAUCAGAUUAUGAGCCAAGCAAGUGUCGCAAUGAGUUAUGUAGUACCCACAGAAGGCCACAGGAGGGGCAAGAGAGCUAUACAACCAUACUGAUUUUUGCCUUAAAAACCCAAAACCUAACAUCCAAUAAAAUGUAUUUAUAACGCCCUUUUUACAUCAGCAGAUGUAAAUUAAUUUACAUGAAUUUACCCUGAUUUCUAGUGAUGGGUAGCGUAGAACACUUUUAGAAACUAUUUUAGUAAUAACAUUAUGUUAGUAAAUACAAAUAUAGUACUAACUAGCAUUUGUAUUAUUCUGUUAAUCAAAACCUGUCUAAGCAUUUAG